rnacentral:rRNA from 1 species
AGAUCCGGAGAAGACUAACAGGAUUCCCCUAGUAACUGCGAGUGAAGCGGGAAAAGCUCAAAUUUGAAAUCUGGCGGUCUUUGGCCGUCCGAGUUGUAAUCUAGAGAAGUAAUGCCCGUGCUGGACCGUGUAUAAGUCUCCUGGGAUGGGGCGUCAUAGAGGGUGAGAAUCCCGUCUUUGACACGGACUACCAGUGCAUUGUGGUAUGCUCUCAAAGAGUCGAGUUGUUUGGGAAUGCAGCUCAAAAUGGGUGGUAAAUUCCAUCUAAAGCUAAAUAUUGGCGAGAGACCGAUAGCGAACAAGUACCGUGAGGGAAAGAUGAAAAGAACUUUGGAAAGAGAGUUAAACAGUACGUGAAAUUGCUGAAAGGGAAACGCUUGAAGUCAGUCGCGUUGGCCAGGGAUCAGCCUUGCUUUUGCAUGGUGUACUUUCUGGUUGACGGGUCAGCAUCAAUUUUGACUGCUGGAAAAAGGCCUGGGGAAUGUGGCAGCUUCGGCUGUGUUAUAGCCCCUGGUCACAUACGGCGGUUGGGAUUGAGGAACUCAGCACGCCGCAAGGCCGGGUUUCGACCACGUUCGUGCUUAGGAUGCUGGCAUAAUGGCUUUAAGCGACCCGUCUUGAAACACGGACCAAGGAGUCUAACAUGCCUGCGAGUAUUUGGGUGAAAAACCCGAGUGCGCAAUGAAAGUGAAAGUUGAGAUCCCUGUCGUGGGGAGCAUCGACGCCCGGACCAGAACUUUUGGGACGGAUCCGCGGUGGAGCAUGUAUGUUGGGACCCGAAAGAUGGUGAACUAUGCCUGAAUAGGGUGAAGCCAGAGGAAACUCUGGUGGAGGCUCGUAGCGAUUCUGACGUGCAAAUCGAUCGUCAAAUUUGGGUAUAGGGGCGAAAGAACUAAUCGAAACCCUUCCAAACCGUUCG